rnacentral:rRNA from 1 species
UACGUAGGGUCCGAGCGUUGUCCGGAAUACUGGGCGUAAAGAGCUCGUAGGUGGUUUGUCGCGUUGUUCGUGAAACUCACAGCUCAACUGUGGGCGUGCGGGCGAUACGGGCAGACUAGAGGUACUGCAGGGGAGACUGGAAUUCCUGGUGUAGCGGUGGAAUGCGCAGAUAUCAGGAGGAACACCGGUGGCGAAGGCGGGUCUCUGGGCAGUAACUGACGCUGGAGGAGCGAAAGCGUGGGGAGCGAACAGG